rnacentral:rRNA from 1 species
UACGUAGGGGGCGAGCGUUAUCCGGAAUCACUGGGCGUAAAGGGUGCGUAGGCGGCCUAUAAAGUCAGGGGUGAAAGGCUACGGCUCAACCGUAGUAAGCCUUUGAAACUUAUGGGCUUGAGUGCAGGAGAGGAGAGUGGAAUUCCUAGUGUAGCGGUGAAAUGCGUAGAUAUUAGGAGGAACACCAGUGGCGAAGGCGGCUCUUUGGUCUGUAACUGACGCUGAGGCGCGAAAGCGUGGGGAGC